rnacentral:rRNA from 1 species
UACGUAGGUGGCAAGCGUUAUCCGGAUUUAUUGGGCGUAAAGGGAACGCAGGCGGUCUUUUAAGUCUGAUGUGAAAGCCUUCGGCUUAACCGGAGUAGUGCAUUGGAAACUGGGAGACUUGAGUGCAGAAGAGGAGAGCGGAACUCCAUGUGUAGCGGUGAAAUGCGUAGAUAUAUGGAAGAACACCAGUGGCGAAAGCGGCUCUCUGGCCUGUAACUGACACUGAGGCUCGAAAGCGUGGGGAGCAAACAGG